GGAGCCGGCGACGGCGGGCGCAGAGCGCGAGGGGAGGAGCGGCCGAGGGGAGGAUGUUCCCGGCGGCGGCGGCCGGGGCGGUGCGGGACGGAGGCGCGGCGCGGGGAGCCCUGGGCGGCCCGGCGGUGCGCGGCGGUGGGCGCGCGGCCAGCUGCGGGCUCUGCGCCGCCCCGCGGCCUCUGAGCGCGGGCCCCUGGCUUUGUGUGGCGCGCCGCCUUCGCGGGGACGGUCUGGGGGCUCCGGGUCGGCGAAGGGUGCGGGCACGACGCCGCAGGGCCCGGGCCCGGACACGACACUCGGCGGGGAAGGGUCGGACAAAAAAAGACCAAAUGGCAAAGCAACCUUCUGAUGUAAGUUCUGAGUGUGACAGAGAAGGUGGACAAUUACAGCCCACGGAGAGGCCUCCUCAGCUCAGGCCUGGGGCGCCCAGCUCUGUACAGAUAGAGCCACAAGGUAAUCCUGAAGGCGAAGGGGACCGCUGCCCGCACGGCAGCCCUCAGGGCCCGCUGGCCCCACCGGCCAGCCCUGGGCCUUUUGCUACCAGAUCCCCGCUUUUCAUCUUUGUGAGAAGAUCCUCCCUGCUGUCUCGAUCCUCCAGUGGGUAUUUCUCUUUUGACACAGACAGGAGCCCAGCACCCAUGAGUUGUGACAAAUCAACACAAACCCCGAGUCCUCCUUGCCAGGCCUUCAACCAUUAUCUCAAUGCAAUGGCCUCCAUGCGGCAGUCUCAGGCCCUCCCUGCAGACAUGCGACCGGAGAUGUGGAUCGCACAGGAGCUGCGGCGGAUCGGGGACGAGUUCAACGCCUACUACCCACGGAGGUGAGAGCGAUAGAGGAAGUUGUCACGUAGUUGUAGUGUGUUCGGGCCGCGUCAGGGCAGGGGGCAGCGGGCAGCAUGUGGCCCGGAGCUGUGGAGGCUGAGUCCCGGAAGCAGGAGUGGGAGAGGCACAGAAGAAGCCAAGUGAUUUUGAAAGUUAAAUCAAAACAAAGCCACCUGGGGUGUGACAGAUAAAAUCGGACUGUGGUUCGGGAGUCUGCGGGGCCUGCCGGCCGGCGUGCCAGCCAGCUUCCUCGUCUGCCUUAUUGCCGUCCUGCUCGGGCCCGGUGCACAGGGGCUGUGGAAACAGUCGCGAAGGGGACUGCCUGGCAGCUGCUGUGUGGAUGGCCUGGGUCUGAGACUGGACCCUCCUUACAGCCCCCAGAAGGUCACCCUUUGGGGAGUCUGAGACACACGUGGGCCGACUUCAUGAACGAUUACCAGGAAGCAGGAGGCCACCCCUACAUGGUGGUCUUACGACUGCUGCGUUACAUCCUCCGUCUGGUGUGGAGGAUGCAGUGACGACGGGUUCCCACGGAGCCAAGAUGUGUGCAGACAUUUCACUUGAUCGAGCGGACAAGCCCAGCGUCCGGCCUCCUGUCGCCAUUGCUCCGCGGUCAGCGGUGGUCCCAGAGCGGCCGGUGUGGCCUGACACCUGGGGCUGCGUGCGGACUUGACCUUAUGGGUUCCUCGCCCUGUGGCAGAGGCUCUAGUGUAGUUUGUUAUGAAUGUAAAUGAGAGAGUAUUUUCUUUUUAAAAACUGAUCAUGGUUCUUUGGAGCAGGAUUUUAUGCAAGAAUGGUGUAAGAACACGUUUUUAAAAAAGGAAAUGGGAAUUUUUAACCAACUUCAUAAAUGAAUUUUUACUAAAAAUUUAAGAACCUAUUAUGGAAACUCGUGUGGGAACUGAGCCAGCUGAUUUCUAAGGCUGCCUCAGUUUAUUUUUACAGGCUACUGUACAGGACUUUUAAACAUGAGAGGUGUGUAUGAUAUGGCCCCUCCCUCCCUGCCAUUGCCUCUCUCGCCUUCUUUUAAUCGUUUUUACCAAAAAGUUCUUAUGAGAUAGAACUGAUCAAAGGGGUAAAGGGCCUUUGAUCAGCCUGUGUUGAUAUGCCACUUCCACUGUGUAAAUAUUUUGACUUACCUCCUUAAAUGUAAUUGCAUCUGUGGCUUCUCUGUGUGUGCUCGUCUUCCCCUGCGAUGCUCCUCUGUCUGUCCUAGGUGCUGACGCACACAUUUGGUCCAGGGCAUCUUGAUGAUCGAGUGUAACUGGGCCAGAAUGUGACUUGGGAUCUGCCUGUGUCCGCAGCUCAGCCAGUCUUGGGGGAGCUUACUAACCAGGAAGUGCGUGGUACUGGUUUCCCCGUGGUUUGGUGGGCUGGCGUGGAAGUACAGGUGUCCUGAAGAGGGAGUGUGGUGGCAGCAGACACAGUAUCAGGGCCCUUGGCACUGUUGGCUUUUCCGGUUGCAGGUUUUCCCUCAGCACAAGGAGGCACUCUCAGCAUGAGGCCCUGGCUGGCUGGCAAGCCCACCUGCGGCUGAAUUGGGCCGCAAGAGUCCAGGCUGGAGUCCUCAUGGGAAUUGGCACAGGCCGUGGGCAGGGCUUUGGAUGGCUGCUUCCUGGCCAUCCUGGCUUUUCAUCCAAUUCCAAGCCGAUCUGGUCUUGGAUGCCCACCACUGGUUCCCACUCUUCUGUACCCACUCUGAAAUGCAGGCUUCCUUCCCCUCUGCAGCGCCAUUAAAACGCGAGGCACAGGCCUGCAGCGGUCCCUCCCACAGCUGUCUGACUGUUCUUUUCUCCUGGACGGCGGCUUUACCAGGCCUCCUGCUGCCCUGCUCCCUCCACCCCCACCCGUGAGGACUGCAGCGAGGCACCCACGGGGGAUCAGUCAUUUCAAAGGCCAUUAAACAGCGGGGAGACCCGAGAGAGACCAGUUAGAGGGCAGGGAAGGAAGGUGCAGAUCAUUCUGUGAACCCACAACUCCUACAGUUUUUCAAACCUCAGAUCAUGAAAUAGUUUUUUUAAGAGAAAUAUAUGAUUUUUUCAAAUGAGUCAGCAGUGCCAACAGCUAUUGCAUUUUCUUUUGGCCCAUCAAGGACCAGCAUUUUCACAUAAUUAAAUUGCAAGGAGAAACUCAUUCAUUCAUGUGUCUCUUCAUCGUUUUGUGUAAAUAUAUAUGUAUACAUAUAUGUAUAUACGUGCGUGUAUAUAUAUUUUGCAUAUACGCUUUCUUUAUGUAGAAAUAUUUGAUCUCAGAUGUCUUCCUUUUUUAAAAAUUUCUUUUUUCCCAAAGCCUUUCUUAGGGUCUUGAAUAUUUUUAAAACUGUUGAGACUGAGCGUGUGUUCUCGGUAGGUCUGGAACCCCCUUGCUGGGGCACAAAGGCCACACCGCUGGAGGUGCUGGUGACAUUGCGGCCGUGGGCCUGCGGGACACACACACCAAAGACGUAUUUGGUUCUGGGCCCGUCCGCCCCCAGGAUCUCCGUACUCAUGUCCAGUCCCUCUGACUGGAGCACUUUACCUGCUUCUGGGAGCGCGGACGCAGCCCGGGCUGAGGGCCCGCUGCGCGCUCCUUUACCUCUGGCCUGGCAGCUGGCCGUGGCCACGCGUGAGGAAGUGAUUCCGGGACGUGUAGAAGUAUUAAGAACAGGAUGUUGCCCCAGGACCUGAGAGAUGGCUGGGUGUCUGUACUGUACGUGUCUGUGUAUCAAGAUGCUUCCUGCAGAAAGCAUACCUACGAUGGUAUGCCUUUUACUUUUAUAUUUUAUUAUCUUGUAGAAGAAAAAUAACUAGCUCCCAUUCUGAAAAUUUAUGAGAUGCGGGUUUUGUGCCUUGACCACCUCUUCUCAUGCGAGAUUUGUAGAAAGUGUCCUGUGAUGAUCACAGAAAUGCAAUAAAUUCCCCCCAGGAACUCCACGGUGAUUCUUCCAGUUUUACGUGUCGUCCAGCCUAGAAAUGAGUUUAUGAAGAAUUUGUUUUCAGUUGUGGAGAAACCAGGUAAAAAUUCCUUCUGAUUUAAAAAACAAAACAAAAAAAAUGUACUCAGUCAAACCGUCUCCUGUUUCCCCUUCUUAAUAUUGUACAUAUUUUGACUAUUUAUUAGAUUAGAUCCUAUUUUACUUACCAACUGAGCCAGAUGUCUGUGUGCAAUUGUCUCCUUCACCUUUCUUGUAAAAUUUUGUACAGCAUAAAUGAGAAAAGAAAAAAAAAAAAAAAUCACUGUUUUUUACUAAACUUUUCCAGAAUUAAGGAUUGUAAAUAUUGUAGAUUCUUUUUCUGUGUAAUGUGUCCUACUGGUUCAUAAUGCUGUAACUUGUAGACAUAAUGUAUAUUUAUUUCCUGCUUAUUUAAUGUCUUAAAUUCUGUAAAGUGUUGACCUCUGACACGCCUCCCCUCCCCCCAUCCUGUUAUUUUCUUUAACUCUGAGGUGGCGGCUGGUCAGCUCACUGCCAGACACAUGGUCUUCCUAGGGUGGCCUGCAGCUUUGGUUCCUGGCAUAUCUGGUCAAUGGGUUUACAUUCUUGGUGUUGGCUGUCCUUUGAUAAAGCUCAUGUUUAGACACCAAUGAGAGACCAUAAAUCGGGCAGGCUUCAAAACUCUGGGAAACACCCAGUGACUUUCUAUUGGUUCCAAAACAGCUAGCUUCUCAUGGAAGCAGAUUCUAUUAGCUCCAGGAUUUGUCUUGAAAAAAUAAAAAGUGUUAUCAGGUAGUUGGGAUGGAUUUAAAAUUUAUACCUGACAGCUCAGUAUUCAGAGGGCAGGGGACAGGUAGGAGGGUUCCUGCUUCCAGAGCGAUUGGAGGACCUGCUCGUGCCACUCACCCCCUGUUGGCAACUGGCGAGCUGCACCACCUCCACCCUUCCAGGUGUGGCCCGAAUUGUCCUCAGGAGCUAAUUGUACAGGCCCCUGGCCCCGAACUUUGGUCCCUCAUUGGGUCAGCCUGCUUCUUCAGGUUGAUGUCCUGCUUCGGGAGAGGUUGGUGGUCCCCUGGGAUGGGUGUUAAGAUGUGGGAGCUUUAGAGAGGCUUCUUCCUGGUUUGGUGUAGAUGGUCUGUCACCCCUGCUGACUUAGCCUGGUGCCUGCGUGUGUUCACUGUGCACGUGCGUGUGUGCGGGGAUGUGUUCACACAUGAGGCUAAACCAGCUGGGGUGGCUUCUACUCCAAACCGUGCGACGUGCAAGAGCAUCUUCAAGCUCCCAGCGAAGUAACUUGACUACUUGUAGUGGGCAGUUCCAGACUUGAGAAGCUCUCCGAGUCCUAUGUCCAGGUCCCGUGACCACUCGUCACUGUCGGAACUCAUCAGGUACUCCUGUACAAGAGCACUGAUCUGUGUGGAUACUGAUUCAUCACUAAUGUGUUUCUAGGACCCAGCGUAUGUAGCGUUCGUAUUGCAAUUUCCCUGGCUUACUUUGGUUUGCACUGAUGAAUUUUGACAGGGUAAUUGCCACUUUAUUGUGCAAUACUGCUGUAAAUAGUUGCAGAUUUUUUUUUUUUAAGAAACUCAAUCUUUUUAUGUUCUUACUGAAUUUUAUAUAAAUAAAACUUUUCGACUGGU